rnacentral:tRNA from 1 species
GCCGGUGUAGCUCAAUUGGUAGAGCAGUGGUGGAUGACGAAGCCCUGGUUUCGUUUUAAACCAUAUGUUGGAGGUUCAAGUCCUCUCACCGGCUCCA